UACAGAGGUCUCAACCGUUGUUCGGAUUCAUUGGGCGUAAAGGGUGCGUAGGCGGUCGUGCAAGUCGGAUGUGAAAUCUCAGGGCUCAACCCUGAAACUGCAUUCGAUACUGCGCGGCUAGAGUGCUGGAGGGGAGACUGGAAUUUACGGUGUAGCAGUGAAAUGCGUAGAUAUCGUAAGGAAGACCAGUGGCGAAGGCGGGUCUCUGGACAGUUCCUGACACUGAGGCACGAAGGCCAGGGGAGCAAACGGG
rnacentral:rRNA from 1 species